rnacentral:rRNA from 1 species
AGCGAACGCUGGCGGCAGGCUUAACACAUGCAAGUCGAGCGGGCCUUUCGGGGUCAGCGGCGGACGGGUGGGUAACGCGUGGGAACGUGCCCUCUGGUUCGGAAUAACUCAGGGAAACUUGAGCUAAUACCGGAUACGCCCUUUUGGGGAAAGGCUUGCUGCCGGAGGAUCGGCCCGCGUCUGAUUAGCUAGUUGGUGAGGUAACGGCUCACCAAGGCGACGAUCAGUAGCUGGUCUGAGAGGAUGAUCAGCCACACUGGGACUGAGACACGGCCCAGACUCCUACGGGAGGCAGCAGUGGGGAAUAUUGGACAAUGGGCGCAAGCCUGAUCCAGCCAUGCCGCGUGAGUGAUGAAGGCCUUAGGGUUGUAAAGCUCUUUUAUCCGGGACGAUAAUGACGGUACCGGAGGAAUAAGCCCCGGCUAACUUCGUG